GGAAAGGUCUGUCUGGAAAGUGCCUGUGGUGGACCAGUGGUAGCUUCUGACUGUGCUGGGGACCAGAGCCUCCCUGGGCCCCCUUGAGCUCCUAUGACUGGCGCAACAGACCAUGGAGAAUCUGAAGCCUCAUGAGAGACCCCAAUGCAGAUACAGUUAGAGGCACAGCUAAGCAAGCAGCGGUAUGGCCCAGUGGAUAAGGGACAAGCAUGGGACUCAAGCAGACCGCAGUUUUCUUCUCAGCUCAAUCGCUGGUGAGCUGUGUGAACUUGGUCAAACCACUUCUCACCUGCAGUCUCUCGUCUGCGCAGUGUGUAUCUACUUUUGAUGCCUUUUGCUUGCAAAAAGGCUACUCCAGAUAUAAGAGGGGGUUUCAGCUUUGUGACAGCUGCACUACUGCCCC